UACGGGGGGGGCAAGCGGUUGUUCGGAAUUACUGGGCGUAAAGGGCUCGUAGGUGGCCAACUAAGUCAGACGUGAAAUCCCUCAGCUUAACUGGGGAACUGCGUCCGAUACUGGCAGGCUUGAAUUCGGGAGAGGGAUGUGGAAUUCCAGGUGUAGCGGUGAAAUGCGUAGAUAUCUGGAGGAACACCGGUGGCGAAGGCGGCAUCCUGGACCGAUAUUGACGCUGAUGCGCGAAAGCCAGGGGAGCAAACGGG
rnacentral:rRNA from 1 species